CAGUAGCCGCGGGAAUACGAAGGGUGCAAGCGUUAAUCGGAAUUACUGGGCGUAAAGCGUGCGUAGGCGGUUUGUUAAGUCUGUUGUGAAAUCCCCGGGCUCAACCUGGGAAUGGCAAUGGAUACUGGCAAGCUAGAGUGCGUCAGAGGAUGGUGGAAUUCCCGGUGUAGCGGUGAAAUGCGUAGAGAUCGGGAGGAACAUCAGUGGCGAAGGCGGCCAUCUGGGACAACACUGACGCUGAGGCACGAAAGCGUGGGGAGUAAGCAGGAUUAGAUACCCCUGUAGUCCCUGUCUCUUAUAC
rnacentral:rRNA from 1 species